UUUUUUUUUGCCACUGCGGUGUUCUCUCAUUUUAACAAUCUCCCGUAAAAUUAGGUUAUACGAUCGAGAUGACCGUGAGAUGUCUUCAAAAUACGAGUACCACGGAAUUAUAUGCGUGAAAUUAUUACCCUCCUUUUUAAAAAAAAAAAAAUGCCACCACGGACGAUAGCUGGUACAUAUACGCACGACGGUGGAAUGAAACAAAAACGACUCC